GCUGGCGGCGUGCCUAAUACAUGCAAGUCGAACGAGGUCCUUCGCUUCGGCGAAGGUGUCCUAGUGGCGAACGGGUGAGUAACACGUUGGUGACCUACCCCGAAGAGGGGGACAACCCCGGGAAACUGGGGCUAAUACCCCAUGUGAUCCAGAGCGUUAGAGGGCACUGGAUGAAAGGGAGCAAUCCGCUUCGGGAGGGGCCUGCGGCCUAUCAGCUAGUUGGUGGGGUAACGGCCUACCAAGGCGACGACGGGUAGGGGACCUGAGAGGGUGGUCCCCCACACUGGAACUGAAACACGGACCAGACACCUACGGGUGGCAGCAGUAGGGAAUAUUGCACAAUGGGCGAAAGCCUGAUGCAGCAACGCCGCGUGCGCGAUGAAGGCCUUCGGGUUGUAAAGCGCUUUUCUGGGGGACGAGAAAGGACGGUACCCCAGGAAUAAGUCUCGGCUAACUACGUGCCAGCAGCCGCGGUAAAACGUAGGAGGCAAGCGUUAUCCGGAUUUACUGGGCGUAAAGCGCGUGCAGGCGGUUUGGUAAGUCGGACGUGAAAGCUCCCGGCUCAACUGGGAGAGGCCGUUCGAAACUGCCAGACUAGAGGGCAGCAGAGGGAGGUGGAAUUCCGGGUGUAGCGGUGAAAUGCGUAGAUAUCCGGAGGAACACCGGUGGCGAAAGCGGCCUCCUGGACUGCCCCUGACGCUAAGACGCGAAAGCUAGGGGAGCAAACGGGAUUAGAAACCCCGGUAGUCCUAGCCGUAAACGAUGCAAACUUGGUGUUGGUGGUUUAAAACCCAUCAGUGCCGCAGCUAACGCGAUAAGUUUGCCGCCUGGGGACUACGAUC
rnacentral:rRNA from 1 species